rnacentral:misc_RNA from 1 species
CUGGUGUAUAAGUUGCGGUGAUUGCAUACCAUCAGAAUCGUCGGUGCAACAUAAGUGAAUUCAAGUCGCGUGCUAGUCCCGAUGGCGCAUGUCCUUGCGAGGUGCGCGGACGCCGAAACGAUGCCAACAUGGGGUCACCACUAGUCCUUAUAUAUUAGCAGGAUAAGCCACAGCAGUCAGUGUUCAACGGACAAUCAAAACAAGCAAAAUGUUCAAGUUUUUGGUAUACCUCGCUCUCCUGGCUUUCGCCUGCGCUAAGCCUCUUGUGUACACUGCACCCAUCGCCGCCGCAUACACUGCUCCGGUCGCAGCAGCGUACACAGCUCCUGUGGCGUACCCUGCCUACAGCGCUUAUUCACCAUUCGCAUACUCCGCCUACACUUACGCUGCGCCUUAUACGUACUACGUUUAAUGUUCUGCUUAUAAUGACGACCGAUAAAACUUGUUAAAAAUUAUGUUAACGGCAGCAACCGACUUAUUUAUUGUUUAAAAUCUAUGAUUUCAAUAAAUAAAAAAAUUUACCUGAUUUUUUUUUAUUUACUAAUAUUUUCUUUAGUCUAUUCAGAUUUCUAAAACACUUAUUCAUCAAAUCAUCAUUUUAUCCAUAACAUUUUCGAAAUAGUAUAUAAAACAUAAACUAACAUAUGAUAUUAAUAUUAUUAAAAUUAAGCAAGUAAUAAAAUAUUAUUAAAAAAAAUUAAAACCUCGGAUCAAACCAUUUUCACGGUAGUCGUAAAGUCGUUUGUAUACAUUUUUAAAAAUAAUAUUAUUUUGUUGCGAUUUGUUAUUUCAAAUACCUCUUAAA